UUGCAGAUGUCUCUACUCACCAUGACUGUACCUAUUGACAUGUCUCUACUCACCAUGAUGGUACCUAUUGACAUGAGGUCUCUACUCACCAUGACUGCUACCUAUUGACAUGAGGUCUCUACUCACCCUGACUGGUACCUAUUGGCAUGAGGUCUCUACUCCACCAUGACUGGUACCUAUUGACGUCUCUAUCACCAUGACUGGUACCUAUUGACAUGUCUCUACUCACCACCUGACUGGUACCUAUGGCAUGAUGUCUCUACUCACCAUGACUGGUACCUAUUGACAUGAUGUCUCUCCCUACUCACCAUGACUGUACCUAUUGACAUGAUGUCUCUACUCACCAUGACUGGUACCUAUUGACAUGA
rnacentral:lncRNA from 1 species